rnacentral:rRNA from 1 species
UACGGAGGAUCCAAGCGUUAUCCGGAUUUAUUGGGUUUAAAGGGUGCGUAGGCGGCUUAUUAAGUCAGGGGUGAAAGACGGUGGCUCAACCAUCGCAGUGCCUUUGAUACUGAUGAGCUUGAAUAUACUAGAGGUAGGCGGAAUGCGACAAGUAGCGGUGAAAUGCAUAGAUAUGUCACAGAACACCGAUUGCGAAGGCAGCUUACUAUGGUAUUAUUGACGCUGAGGCACGAAAGCGUGGGGAUCAAACAGGAUUAGAUA